ACUUUAGUCUAAAGGUUCUCUCAGUAUUUUAUACGAAUUGAUAGCUUUUAUCUUCAAUUUGAGAAAUUACUUUAAUUCUUUAGCGGGUACUAGAAUCUACACAAACUGCAUACAUGCUCGAGGAUGGUUCGGUCAAUCCAUAUGCACCUAUGGGUAGGUUCUCAAUCAAUUAUUUCUUCAAAUAAUUUUUAAUAAUUAAUUUAGUCUCAAAUUUAUUUCAGCAGGUGAUGGGCCUCCAUUGAAAGUUUCAGUUAGGUCAAACCAUUAACAUGAACCUACUCAGUGAUUCUAACUAAUGAAUGAUCAGACCCGAAGAUGGCUUGAUUGAAAGGAAAGAAACUAUUUCUCCUUGAAAAGCCCAGAUUGCAUCUAAAAAUUUUUUUAUUCAUCUACAUGAUUAAAGAUCAAAUCCUUACCUGAUUUACAGUAAAAUUAGAGAUCAAAUCUCAAAUUAUCUGAUAUAAACCUUCACGGAGGCCUGGAUGUGCAGACCCUCUACUUUGCAUGCACGUCAGACGCUGCAGGAAAGCAGGAUGAACUCUAAUCUAAUUGCCUUCGAAAGCCAACCAAAUAAGGGAGAAGAUGUACUGGUGUGACACCUCACACCAGCAAAUGGGACACCCAAGAAGGAUCCACACCCA
rnacentral:lncRNA from 1 species